GUGCAAGACGGGCUCGCGUCCGAUUAGGUAGUUGGAGGGGUAACGGCCCACCAAGCCUAUGAUCGGUAGCCGACCUGAGAGGGUGAUCGGCCACAUUGGAACUGAGAUACGGUCCAAACUCCUACGGGAGGCAGCAGUGGGGAAUAUUGGGCAAUGGGGGAAACCCUGACCCAGCAACGCCGCGUGAAGGAAGAAGGUUUUCGGAUUGUAAACUUCUGUCCUUGGUGAAGAGAAGAAGACGGUAGCCAAGGAGGAAGCCCCGGCUAACUACGUGCCAGCAGCCGCGGUAAUACGUAGGGGGCAAGCGUUGUCCGGAAUGAUUGGGCGUAAAGGGCGCGUAGGCGGCUUUAUAAGUCUGGAGUGAAAGUCCUCUUUUCAAGGGAGGAAUUGCUUUGGAAACUAUAGAGCUUGAGUGCAGGAGAGGUUAUCGGAAUUCCCGGUGUAGCGGUGAAAUGCGUAGAUAUCGGGAGGAACAUCGGUGGCGAAGGCGGGUAACUGGACUGCAACUGACGCUGAGGCGCGAAAGUGUGGGGAGCAAACAGGAUUAGAUACCCUGGUAGUCCACACGGUAAACGAUGAAUGCUAGGUGUAGGAGGUAUCGACCCCUUCUGUGCCGCAG
rnacentral:rRNA from 1 species